rnacentral:rRNA from 1 species
UUGGAGGGCAAGUCUGGUGCCAGCAGCCGCGGUAAUUCCAGCUCCAAUAGCGUAUAUUAAAGUUGUUGCAGUUAAAAAGCUCGUAGUUGAAUUUCGGGAUCCAUCCGUCGGUCGGGCUUCACGGUCCGCACUGGUGUGAUGGAUUCCUACCUUCUGAAUAACCAGCAUGCUAUUAAUUUGGUGCGUUGGGGAAGCAGGACUGUUACCUUGAAAAAAUUAGAGUGCUUAAAGCAGGCUAGUGCCUGAAUACAUUAGCAUGGAAUAAUGAAAUAGGACGGCAUGGUUCUAUUUUGUUGGUUUCUAGGAUCACCGUAAUGAUUAAUAGGGAUAGUUGGGGGCAUUAGUAUUCAAUUGUCAGAGGUGAAAUUCUUGGAUUUAUUGAAGACUAACUUCUGCGAAAGCAUUUGCCAAGGAUGUUUUCAUUAAUCAAGAACGAAAGUUAGGGGAUCGAAGACGAUCAGAUACCGUCGUAGUCUUAACCAUAAACUAUGCCGACUAGGGAUCGGACGAUGUUAAUUUUUUAAUGACUCGUUCGGCGCCUUACAGGGAAACCAAAGUGUUUGGGUUC